rnacentral:rRNA from 1 species
CCAGCACCCGCGGUAAUUCCAGCUCCAAUAGCGUAUACCAAUGUUGUUGCAGUUAGAAAGCUCGUAGUUGGGGGUGGGUGGGUGAGCACUGGGCCGUGAGGCGCGAUGCGAGCCCAGCAUGACUUUCUGGACUUGGGGUGGGUUCUUCGUUGGACCCACCACAGCUAGAAUGUUACUGUGAAUAAAUUAGGGUGUUCCAAGCGGGCUGAUGCUCGCAUAGAUUAGCAUGGAAUAACAGAGUUGGACCUGGGCGCUGUUGGGCAGGAGGUGGCUAGGGAAUGGUUAAUAGGGACGGUUGGGGGCAUUAGUAUUUCAUAGUCAGAGGUGAAAUUCCGGGAUUUAUGAAAGACUGACUUCUGCGAAAGCAUUUGCCAAGGAUGUUUUCAU